GGUCAGUGGCACGAGCUCUUCUUUCUUCUUCUCCCUUUCAUAUUCUCUACCCUCGGAGCCCUAGCACAAGGGAUGCUUUUGCCCAAUUGAAUGGCUCAAGCAACUCUGCAAAUGAAAAUGAGUGGAAGAGACCCAUAACAACAACAAUGUCCAAAACGACGUCGUCCUACUUAAGCCCAUGCCAACCAAUUUCACCAGCAGCCCAAUUCUUUUUCAACACCAUUGCAGCCCAGCAGAAGCCAUGUGUGGUAGCAGCGUUUCCUUUAAUCUCAGUCAGCAGCAGUGCAGCCCAUCAAAGGGCAAUAGCUCAAUAGCCCAA
rnacentral:lncRNA from 1 species